GAUGAACGCUGGCGGCGUGCCUAAUACAUGCAAGUCGAGCGAACAGACGAGGAGCUUGCUCCUCGGACGUUAGCGGCGGACGGGUGAUUAACACGUGGAUAACCUACCUAUAAGACUGGGAUAACUUCGGGAAACCGGCGCUAAUACCGGAUAAUAUAUUGAACCUCAUGGUUCAUUAGUGAAAGACGGUUUUGCUGUCACUUAUAGAUGGAUCCGCGCCGCAUUAGCUUGUUGGUAAGGUAACGGCUUACCAAGGCAACGAUGCGUAGCCGACCUGAGCGGGGGAAUGGGUACACUGGAAGUGAGAAACGGUCCAGACACCUACAGGAGGCAGCAGUAGGGAAUCCUACGCAAUGGGGGAAAGCCUGAUGGAGCAAAGCCGCGUGAGUGAUGAAGGACUUCGGAUCGUAAAACGAUGUUAUUAGGGAAGAACAAAUGUGUAAGUGACUAUGACGGUCUUGACGGUACCCAAUGAGAAAGCCACGGCUAACUUCGUG
rnacentral:rRNA from 1 species